UGUAUGUCCUGUGUUGGUCUGAAGUUGUUGAAUGUAUUUUGUAGCUGCUCCUGCAGAGGGGGGGAAGGGGAACGCUCCUUGGGUGUGUUUAGGGAAGAGGCCUGCGGGAAAACAACCCAUAAUAUUGAAUCUGUCUAUGCACACUAGAGACGGUCACCCUGGACACAGGAUGAAGAGAUCUACGGCCAGACGGCAAUGCCUUGCCCCGGCCAAGAUUCUGCUCGGCCCCAACACCACCGAGCAUUCCGUUCCUCCCUCUGCCUAGACUUAGUCAUGCAUGAUCUGCACAGUCUGCAUUCACAGGCGAUGCCACUCACAACUGACUCACUCCCAUGUGAAGUAGCAUUAGCAUGCCCCCAUACACACAUACUGCCCCCGUACCAUCGCUCCUCCCAGACAGCCAGCCAGUUGCACCCAAGAUGCCUUACAGAUGAGGAAUGAUGUGAAAUGUAUCAUGGUUUGUUCUACUCACAAAAGCUCCAUCUCCCUCUCCCUCACUGCAGUAAAUAUUGUAAUGUUGUUCCUUUUCUCUUUGUUCAGUGCAGUCUGUUUGCCAUUCAGAGCGAGUGUCACAAUUUUUAAACAGCAGUCUACAUUCUCUCUCUAUACUGUCUCCACCUAAGGCCCCAGAUAGCUGCUAGGCAUGCAACAGCAGCUGCUGCAGUGGCCAGCCUCAUACAACCUGAGGUACCACCAGGCAUGCAGACAGGUGUAAUUGCAGGAGACCGUGAAUUAAAUAGUGGAAGUGUUUUCUUUGAAUUCUUGUGUUUUGAAUCAACAUGGAAAACAAUUAAUGUAAGACAUCCACUAGCAAGCCAUAGAAGGUUUGAUAAAGCAUGCUGUGUCCAAGAAAGCACUAUAUACUCUCAGUAUAAUUGACAGAUUCGGUACUUAGGGUGUACAAAAAGUACAUGCUUUAAACAAAGAUGACAUCCUUUCUGUAUUAAGUCAACAACCCCGUGGUGCUAUAUCACAACCAAAUAUAAACCCAAGCAAGGGCAGUUUUUCUCACCCCUCCACUGUUGAAUAAACACCCUGGCAUGGCAGCCCUAAUGCGCAGAAAAUGCACUUAUACCCUCCCCUUAGCUCAUCAAUCACCCAUCUGCAGUAUAUUCAAACCUUGGGAAUAAAACAUGCACAUUCAGAAAUUCAUACCCGUUAUCGUAGCCAGUAUGCGUUUCAUUUGCCAUACUGGAAUGGCUGGAACUGUAUUGAUUUCUUCCUUUUUCUCUCCCUUUUGUGUGAGGAGUGAAAAGCUUGUUUUCCUCCACAUCUGUAUGAAUUCAUUAGCCAGCCUUUGGAACACAUCAGUGUGGUUGGUGCAUGGGCAACAGGCCAUGUUCAUCCACUACCAUUUUGUUUUCCUUUUCCAUUUGAACCCAAUACCUUUCUAUCACCGGCUUUGUUUUUGAACCUUGCCAGUCUCUGCCGUAAUGAUGGGUACUAAGAACAUGUGAAUGCUAUAUACACACACACACACACAUACAUAGUAAUUGCCAAUUGUUGUGAC